rnacentral:rRNA from 1 species
AACGAACGCUGGCGGCAUGCCUAACACAUGCAAGUCGAACGAGACCUUCGGGUCUAGUGGCGCACGGGUGCGUAACGCGUGGGAACCUGCCCUUAGGUUCGGAAUAACUCCCCGAAAGGGGUGCUAAUACCGGAUAAUGUCUUCGGACCAAAGAUUUAUCGCCUUUGGAUGGGCCCGCGUUGGAUUAGCUAGUUGGUAGGGUAAAAGCCUACCAAGGCGACGAUCCAUAGCUGGUCUGAGAGGAUGAUCAGCCACACUGGGACUGAGACACGGCCCAGACUCCUACGGGAGGCAGCAGUGGGGAAUAUUGGACAAUGGGCGAAAGCCUGAUCCAGCAAUGCCGCGUGAGUUAUGAAGGCCUUAGGGUUGUAAAGCUCUUUUACCCGGGAUGAUAAUGACAGUACCGGGAGAAUAAGCUCCGGCUAACUCCGU